rnacentral:rRNA from 1 species
GACGAACGCUGGCGGCGUGCCUAAUACAUGCAAGUAGAACGCACAGUUUAUACCGUAGCUUGCUACACCAUAGACUGUGAGUUGCGAACGGGUGAGUAACGCGUAGGUAACCUGCCUGGUAGCGGGGGAUAACUAUUGGAAACGAUAGCUAAUACCGCAUAAUAUUAAUUAUUGCAUGAUAAUUAUUUGAAAGGUGCAAUUGCACCACUACCAGAUGGACCUGCGUUGUAUUAGCUAGUAGGUGAGGUAACGGCUCACCUAGGCGACGAUACAUAGCCGACCUGAGAGGGUGAUCGGCCACACUGGGACUGAGACACGGCCCAGACUCCUACGGGAGGCAGCAGUAGGGAAUCUUCGGCAAUGGACGAAAGUCUGACCGAGCAACGCCGCGUGAGUGAAGAAGGUUUUCGGAUCGUAAAGCUCUGUUGUAAGAGAAGAACGGGUGUGAGAGNGGAAAGUUCACACNGNGACG